CGACCCUCCGGGCACAGAGGGACAGCCAGCUGGAGAGGCCCAAGCAAGAAGAUCUGAUUUUUGCCUGCACUUACAGAGAGCCCUCCCCCGGCUGUCUUGGAAGUUGCUAUACACACCAGGCUGGUCUCAAACCCUGAGUUCCAUCUCCUCCUACCUCUGGUUCCUGAAUCCUGGGCUUAAAGGUGUGUGCCACCACGCUCAGCAAGAGAAGGUUUUCUUGAGGACAUGGGGAAGAUGUCAUUGUUGCGUGUCCUUGAGCAAGGUACCCGGCCUCUCUGAGCUUCCUUCUUCAUCCCACAGUAGGAUCUCCAAUUUUGAACCCAGAGCUCACUGAUCCCAGCUUCUCUAGCUGCUUGCUCUGAGGAACGCCCAGCUCCAUCUCUGACUGAUGGGGUUAUACAGCUGAACAGGACCAGUCCUUGGGGGUCUGUCUCCGAACAAAAAACGCGUUGCCUGGCUUGCUGUCGACAUAAUGCUAACACAGACCAGAGACAGAAGAUAGCUUGCUGUUCUCCAUCUGCCGCUUACUCAGCG